rnacentral:rRNA from 1 species
GAUGAACGCUAGCUACAGGCUUAACACAUGCAAGUCGAGGGGUAACGAGAGGAAAGCUUGCUUUCCUUGUCGACGACCGGCGCACGGGUGAGUAACGCGUAUCCAACCUGCCCCCAACUAGGGAAUAACCUUGCGAAAGUAAGACUAAUACCCUAUAAUUUCCUCAGAUGACAUCUGACGAGGAAUAAAGAUUUAUCGGUUGUGGAUGGGGAUGCGUCUGAUUAGCUUGUUGGCGGGGUAACGGCCCACCAAGGCAACGAUCAGUAGGGGUUCUGAGAGGAAGGUCCCACACAUUGGAACUGAGACACGGUCCAAACGCCUACGGGAGGCAGCAGUGAGGAAUAUUGGUCAAUGGGCGGAAGCCUGAACCAGCCAAGUAGCGUGCAGGAUGACCGCCCUAUGGGUUGUAAACUGCUUUUAUACAGGAAUAAAGUUAGCCACGUGUGGUUAUUUGUAGGUACUGUAUGAAUAAGGACCGGCUAAUUCCGUGCCAGCCGCCGCAGUAA